GGGGAUUUAGCUCAGUGGUAGAGUGCUUGCCUACCAAGCACAAAGCCCUGGGUUCGGUCCCCAGCUCUG
rnacentral:tRNA from 1 species